rnacentral:rRNA from 1 species
GGCGCUUCGGGAGGGGCCUGCGUCCGAUUAGCUCGUUGGUGGGGUAACGGCUCACCAAGGCGACGAUCGGUAGGUGGUCUGAGAGGACGAUCACCCAGACUGGGACUGAGACACGGCCCAGACUCCUACGGGAGGCAGCAGUCGGGAAUUUUGCGCAAUGGGCGAAAGCCUGACGCAGCAACGCCGCGUGAGGGAUGAAGGCCUUCGGGUUGUAAACCUCUUUUGUCAGGGACGAUGAUGACGGUACCUGACGAAUAAGUCACGGCUAACUACGUGCCAGCAGCCGCGGUAAUACGUAGGUGACAAGCGUUGUCCGGAUUUACUGGGCGUAAAGAGCGCGCAGGCGGUCGUUCAAGUCGAGUGUGAAAGCCCCCGGCUCAACUGGGGAGGGUCACUCGAUACUGAUCGACUCGAAGGCAGGAGAGGGAAGCGGAAUUCCCGGUGUAGUGGUGAAAUGCGUAGAUAUCGGGAGGAACACCAGUGGCGAAGGCGGCUUCCUGGCCUGUUCUUGACGCUGAGGCGCGAAAGCUAGGGGAGCAAACGGGAUUAGAUACCCCGGUAGUCCUAGCCGUAAACGAUGGACACUAGGUGUUGGUGGUAUCAACCCCGCCAGUGCCGAAGCUAACGCAUUAAGUGUCCCGCCUGGGGAGUACGGCCGCAAGGCUAAAACUCAAAGGAAUUGACGGGGCCCGCACAAGCAGCGGAGCGUGGGGUUUAAUUCGACGCAACGCGAAGAACCUUACCAGGGCUUGACAUGACCAGGACCGCGGCGGAAACGUCGCUUCCCCGCAAGGGGCCUGGCCACAGGUGUUGCAUGGCUGUCGUCAGCUCGUGUCGUGAGAUGUUGGGUUAAGUCCCGCAACGAGCGCAACCCCUACUGUGUGUUGUAUCACUCACACGGGACUGCCGAGAGAAACUCGGAGGAAGGUGGGGAUGACGUCAAGUCAGCAUGGCCCUUACGUCCUGGGCUACACCCACGCUACAAUGGCCGGUACAACGGGCUGCGAAACCGCGAGGUGGAGCAAAUCCCUUAAAGCCGGUCUCAGUUCGGAUUGUAGGCUGCAACUCGCCUACAUGAAGCCGGAGUUGCUAGUAACCGCCGGUCAGCAUACGGCGGUGAAUAUGUUCCCGGGCCUUGUACACACCGCCCGUCACGUCAUGAAAGCUGGCAACACCCGAAGCCGGUGGGCCAACCGCAAGGAGGCAGCCGUCGAA